ensembl:snRNA U4 U4 spliceosomal RNA
AGCUUUGCACAGUGGCAGUAUCAUAGCCAAUGAGGUUUGUCCAAGGCAGGAUUAUUGCUAAUUGGAAAUCAGCUGAGUAACUACAAUAGAAACAAGUAAUCAUUCUCAAGCAAACAUAAGC